GCCAGGGUGGCAGAGCGGUCAAUGCGGUCGCCUCAAAAGCGACUUCUCAUCACCGAGAGCGCGGGUUCGAAUCCCGUCCCUGGCG
rnacentral:tRNA from 1 species